rnacentral:rRNA from 1 species
AUGUGUUGGCUUGAGUUGGAAUACUGUCUAUGUAUUAAGCACGAUCAUGUUAUAUGCUUAAGAAUUCAUUCAUGUAUAAUAUUAUCAUGUGCAAAGGCACUGUUUCCUUUUAGCUUACUAUCUAAUUUGUCCGUUUGCAUGUCUCCACGGGAAAAAGUGCUAAGAUACUUAUACUAUACAUAUACAAAGGUCAACACUGUGAGCUGGACACACACUGCAUCUCCUUACACUAUACACUGUCCGUGUUUCCAACUCUUCAUUUCACUAGCUAGAUCUGAAAUGCAAUAUGUGUCAGACUCUCAUGCCUACAUAUUAUUUUUGUUUUCUGUUGGGCCAGUCCAUUUGAAGAAUCCUAAUGGCCAUCAGGGUUAUGAAUUUCUUUGGUGGAAAUGA